rnacentral:lncRNA from 1 species
UCUUACUGUCUUAAAAACUCAGAUUCUUUCAUUGAAAUGGCAUUAAGUAAACUUAAGACAAUGCUACAUGGAUUAGAGACUACCUAUAGUGCACCCAACUUGCAGGAUGUCAUUUAGUAUGCGUGUAUUCUUAACCCAACUUGCAGCCUAAUGGCUUUUUAAAGUCAAAACUUCCAUAGUCCUUUUGCAGUAUGAUUUUUGAGGCAUAUGGAGACAGAAUCUGAGCCAAUAUAUUUUAUUCCAAAUGAGGCUCUUUGAUUUCUCACAUGCUUUUGAAAUGUGAUGUUUGUCUACCCUGGAAAACUCUGCCGUUUCAACUCUCUGGAAAGCUAGGAAAGGUUUUGAAUAAUUGUAUCAUGGGUAGUUUUUGGAUUCCACUACUUGUGGGCUACUUCUGCUGGAUAAAUGUGUUGCCUACAUACAGUAUUCUCUUAACCCUGCUUCUCAAAAUCCUAUAUUUUCUGUUGUCAAGUCAAGAAUUACAAAGCCACACUUUGGCAUGGAGAAUACUACUCUACAGUUACUCAUCCUUAAUGACCUGUAGUACAGAAAAGUGAAAACAUUGUGGAGGAGAUAAAUUACCAAAAUAGAAGAUAAGCUGAAAAGGCAAUGGAAAAUAUAUCAUACAUAUCAAAGUUGCUCAUUUAUGCUAUUUUGCCAUAACAAUGCAUACAACUGAAGCACUUCCCUUCUCCAUUGGAGUUUUGUCUCUAGAGGUAUUAAAUAUUAAUCUUAUAAAGAAAAGAAAGCAAAAAAAAAAAACCCUGAACACAUGUUAAUAGGUUAGGGUUUUAAGAGCAAAUCACAAAAGCAGAAUAAGUACUUGGAGGAAAAAAACAGGAAGAGAGAGAAAGAGGGAGAGAGAGAGAGAGGUGGGGUAAAUUGUGGACCCUCCUUUUAAAGAAACAAAAUUUUCCACAGAGUUGCAUUAAUACUUAAAUUGGACUAACUCCAUGUGAAUCCUCGUAAGAAAUACUAUUUCCUUUCAAUUAACUCAUCUAUCCUACAAUUACAUGUCAUGAAAUCUAAAGGCAAAUAUGUUUACCCAGUAAGGGAAUAACAUUCGAGGCAAAAGUGAUGUCACAAACAGAUGGGAAUUCCAAGUAAUACUGAGUCAUGGUUCUAGGGGAAUAAAACAAUUACUUUACAGCUCAGUGCAAUGUAGUAUUUAAAGAAAAGGUAUUUCAAUAGAAUAGCCCAGACAAUUAUUCAACAUUUAACAGAGAUUAUAUUAGUCUAGAUAUGUUAAUUUGGAUUUUAUUCUGUUUUUUAUUUAUGUUAAUAGGUUUGGUUACUGGUUUAAAGAAAUAUUAGAAGUUUAUCUUUUAUUUUUACAAAUAGAUUAACAUUUGUCUUAGAGGGAGUUCUGCCCUUCAUGGAUAAUACCUUUACCUGCUAAAUCUAGAUUUCUUUUUCUAUAGUAAGUUUUAAACCAGUAAUUGAUGUAAAAAGAUGCAACAAAUAAAAUUAUAGCUACUAAUGGGCAUGUAUUUAUUAUACAGUAGGCAAUUUGCAGAAAGUUUUAUGUAUAUUAUUUUUAUUAAUCUUUAUGACAUUGGAAUUCCAUCAGGUAGGCAUUUUGAUUCCCAAGUAAACUAAAGAGAAGAAAACUGAGGCUUAAAGAGGGCCUGUUUGCGUGUUCCCAACUGCUAUGUGGCCAAGAAUAAAAAAUGAGUGCAGAAAGGACAAGUAGUUUUCGUGAAACCACUUGGAAGUGGAGGAGAAGGGUUUUGAACUCCCAUCAUCUCAAGCUCAUGCUUUGCCAUCUCACCACAGUGAAAUGAUGGAAAACUCAAGUCUGCAAACCUUAAAUUUUCAAUCAAAGGGAGGAAACCUUGGGCAAAUGAAGAGGUCAUGGAUAUGAUAUGAAAAUAUUUUAUGAUUUUGCAUGUGAGAAGCUACUGCAUAGAUGAAUUCAACUGCAGGAUCCCUUUUAAAAAAUAUGUAUCUUCAAGAUUGAGUGUGAGCCUUCACAAACUCCUCCUUGUAUCUUAAGUCUGCUGGAGUACUGGCCUGACUCCACUCACUCACUGUGUACUUCGUUUGAAACUAACAAACAAUACAGUGACUGUCAGUAGAUGUUGCCUCCUCAGUCUACAGAGCCAACAAAAAUUAUGGAAAAUGUCAUCAGAUUUCCAUGACAACAUCACGCUGUAUAAUCAACAUGGUUCGAACUAGUCACAUCUUUGCACAACUGGACACAUCAAAAUAAUUGUAUUAUGUCAUCAGUGAUGCCACCAGACAGAGCACCAGCUCCCUUCCUACACUGGAUAGCAGACGUUCAAAUAACGCAAUGUACUGAAGAACUAAUACAGUUUAGACACCAGAGGUCUCACAAGUUAAACCCUCUAUAUAAUACAGAGCCCUCCUGAGAAUCAACUUAAGGUGAAAUGUUUUAAAGAAGAGAUAAUGGUGGUGGUGUGGUGGUACAUGUUGAGCAACCAGCUCUCUGGAGCAACUGAAAAAUACUUCUAAUCUGGCAAAUUCAGCGAGAAGACUGAGUUCCUUAAUUUCUGUCAGCACCAGUGAAAAACUGUCCUAAACUGACCCUGGCUUACAGAUGUACCACUGGAUCUUGGACUAAAUGGUAAUGGUAAUCAUUCUGAGCUUCCAUUAAAAUUCUAAGCCUUCUUCCAUUUUAUUUCUUAUUAACAGCUAUUAUUGUUGUUGUUGUUGUUGUUGUUGUUGUUGUUGUUGUUAUUAUAGCAAAGAAGAACAGCAGAAUGGUUGGUGGAGAUUCCUAUGCUUUCGACCCAUGGCGGGGUCACUAAGUCAGGUGAAUCACCUCCCACCCCUAAAGAUUCCCACCCAGUUAUGCCUUCUAAUGUGCUGUUCACAGUUUAUCAACUGAUUCUGAAAUUCUGAGACUUAACAGUUUUAAACUGA